GUGGGGAAUAUUGGACAAUGGGCGAAAGCCUGAUCCAGCCAUGCCGCGUGUGUGAAGAAGGUCUUCGGAUUGUAAAGCACUUUAAGUUGGGAGGAAGGGCAGUAAGUUAAUACCUUGCUGUUUUGACGUUACCGACAGAAUAAGCACCGGCUAACUUCGUGCCAGCAGCCGCGGUAAUACGAAGGGUGCAAGCGUUAAUCGGAAUUACUGGGCGUAAAGCGCGCGUAGGUGGUUCAGUAAGUUGGAAGUGAAAUCCCCGGGCUCAACCUGGGAACUGCUUUCAAAACUGCUGAGCUAGAGUACGGUAGAGGGUGGUGGAAUUUCCUGUGUAGCGGUGAAAUGCGUAGAUAUAGGAAGGAACACCAGUGGCGAAGGCGACUACCUGGACUGAUACUGACACUGAGGUGCGAAAGCGUGGGGAGCAAACAGGAUUAGAUACCCCUGUAGUCC
rnacentral:rRNA from 1 species